CUGUAGGUUGAGAGACUAUGCAAAGUCUAUCCUUGAAGGAUUCUGCUGGAAUGUUCCCUGAGUGCUGGAUAAAGGAGUUUAUCGGCUUGUUGCAUAUGCACGGUUCAGCCAUUUCUUUUAGAACCCUGCAACUUUUGCGUAGCAACUUGGAGUCACUGCCUUCAAGCUAUGCUUGGGCCAGAGAUUAGAGGCAGCUCUGGGGUACACGACCACACAUCGGAGACUUCAAGUCAGGAGGCCUGGGAGACACGGGAUGCUGCUGUUUCCCAGUGCUGUAGCCAUGGGCAAGUCAGCGAGCCCUUCUGAGCCUCAGUUUCUCCAGCUACCAACAUGGGAACCGCAACAUCAAGGGUUUGGCAUUUCAGUGUUUUGUGAGGAUCAAAUGGAAUAAUAAUGUCUGAGGAAAUUCCAAUUGGGCGUUUUUGAACUUUCAGGAGUUUUGAAGCUAACAGAGUGCCUUUCCCGCGGAAGGGCUGCCUUCGUGGGGGCUUCUGUGCCUCCGAAAUCCUUUAGGAUGUCCCUCACCCGUCUAAAAGUGAAACUGGUGUGGAGACUUCUGGGUCAGGGCUCUGUCAAAGUGGCAACGUUGUCAUGUUUUAUCGUGGUUGUGUUGGGUAGGUUCCCUCACUCUCCACUUUGUGCAACAGGUGGGGUUUGCUAAGCUGGGGGAGUACCCUGCGAUUAGGAAUGAUGGGAGGCUUUAUUUCCCCCAGCCGGGAGCUCUAGUGGGGGUGCAUAGGAUUACCUAAGGAAGGUGCACGCGCUCAGUCCCACCACAGUCCCUGCCACAUAAUGGGGUGUGGCACCUGGCACUCUGCAUUAGAAGUCAAGUAACUUUGAGGAGUCUUGUGCACACCGAGAGCCACUGCUUUAAAGGGACUAUGUUUUUUAAUGGUCACUGACCGUGGAAUCUGCGCACAGAUUUGACUGGUGUGGAAGAAAGUCUGAGAAGGAGAAUUGGCCCAGGGUAGGGGUGAGAGGUGGAAAGGCGCCGAAGGCCAGUUUUGCUGACUUGGUUGACUUGAGGCUAGUUCCUUGCCUCCCUAGGCAAGAUCACCUUCUGGGGGCUGAGAGCAGGGCUGAUUCCCAAGAACUCGAACCUGGAGUGAAUCAGUAAAUUAACUCGCAUUUGUUUGCCUCGAAUUUUUGGAUUUGCCCACGGCUCUGACAGGGUCAGGGUUGCACUUAUGGACCUAUGAUAGGGGGAGUAGGGAACGCACUCCGAUCAUGGACCGUGCUGGUGGGAACUUUUUUUUCCCCUCUCUGGUAACCUUUUUGAAUCUAAAUCUCAUGUUCGUUGGCAGCGUAAGAAACAGGCAUGAAUCAAGUUAUUGUAUUUCCUGAAUUUAACUCUGCCUUUGUAACACUCAGCCCACAUGAAUAAGGGAUAUGCUUCCCUCCCAGUGACACGUCUGCGGCUUCUCCUUCUACCUCCCACCCAAACAUCCUUCAAGAAAAGGAAGAGAGCUUUCGUACCAAGCACAGCGAGGUUUCAGACAAUUUAGCAGCCUGUGCUGGGGUUCCUGGAAUGGAGUGGAAGACCCAAAAUAGAUAUCCGGGAAGAAAAGAGGAUAUGGCAACAAAGAACUUACUUUAAAAUUGCAGGACCCUGCAAGACCUUUGAUUGCCACAAUUGAGUCACGUGAAUUUUUGGUCUCUGCCAUCAGGAGGGGUGUUCCCACGAAUUGACUCAUGUUCCUUGUUUCCUUCCUGAAGAAAAGAAAAGAAAGGCAUGCCGAUGGUCUGAACAAUUCCAGCCAUUAAAGUAGUAAGAACCCGGGGAUCUUGGGUUCACACAGAAGUUUCAGUGAAAGGAUGCAGGGCUUAGAGAUUCUGUUCCCGUGAACAUUCAUUCAGUCAGCAAAUGUUCAUCGAGUGCCUUCCAAUAUGCCAGGCACUGUGUUAAACCCUGGGAUACAGAAGCUAAUAAGAAAUUGGCCUACCCGUUGAGGAGCUCUGUGUCUAUGGGAGAAGACACAAAGUAAAUAAGGGAUUGCUAUGAAAUAUACACCAGGGGCACCUGGGGGGCUCAGUCAGUUAAGUGUCUGACUUCGGCUCAGGUCAUGAUCUUGCAGUUCAUGAAUUUGAGCCCUGCAGCGGGCUCUCUGCUGUCAGCCUGGAGCCCGCUUUGGAUCCUCUGCCCCCUCUCUCCCUGCCCCUCCCCCGCUUACACACACACAUUGUCUGUCUCUCUCUCAAAAAUAAAGAAACAUUAAAAAAGAAGGAACUAUAACCC
ensembl:lncRNA